rnacentral:rRNA from 1 species
GAUGAACGCUGGCGGCGUGCUUAACACAUGCAAGUCGAACGGAAAGGCCGAAGCUUGCUUCGGUACUCGAGUGGCGAACGGGUGAGUAACACGUGGGUGAUCUGCCCUGUACUUCGGGAUAAGCUUGGGAAACUGGGUCUAAUACCGGAUAUGACAAUCUCUUGGAUGGGGUUGUGGAAAGCUUUUGCGGUAUGGGAUGGGCUCGCGGCCUAUCAGCUUGUUGGUGGGGUAAUGGCCUACCAAGGCGUCGACGGGUAGCCGGCCUGAGAGGGUGUACGGCCACAUUGGGACUGAGAUACGGCCCAGACUCCUACGGGAGGCAGCAGUGGGGAAUAUUGCACAAUGGGCGCAAGCCUGAUGCAGCGACGCCGCGUGGGGGAUGACGGCCUUCGGGUUGUAAACUCCUUUCGCAACCGACGAAGCUUUUGUGACGGUAGGUGGAGAAGAAGCACCGGCUAACUACGUG